GCCAGCAGCCGCGGUAAUACAGAGGGUGCGAGCGUUAAUCGGAGUUACUGGGCGUAAAGGGCGCGUAGGCGGUUUAAUGUGUGUGAUGUGAAAGCCCCGGGCUUAACCUGGGAAGUGCAUCGCAAACUAUUGAACUGGAGUAGAUGAGAGGGUGGUGGAAUUUCCGGUGUAGCGGUGAAAUGCGUAGAGAUCGGAAGGAACGUCAAUGGCGAAGCAGCCACCUGGCAUCAUACUGACCCUGA
rnacentral:rRNA from 1 species